GGUUGACAUUUCAGAUCGAGACCUUGCAUCAGGACUGAAAGUGUAAAGGGGAGAUAACCAGGAUAAUGAGGUGGAGGGAGGAGUGAGAUAGGAGCUGGCAAGUGUUAAGUGGAUUCAAAUGAGGAGGAAUUGAUGGGCAGAUGGAGCCAGGUAGAGGAGAGAAGGUUGGAGCUAGUGACAGAGGAUGGGAGGUGUUAAGUGGAGAUAACAAAGGAGUGCAGAUUUUAGAAUCUGAUAAGAACGAAAACUGAUGAGAGGAACCAGAUAAUGGACGGAUGCGAAUAGUAUGGGGAGGGGAUACGGGAAAUAUCGGAUCAAACACAAAGU